rnacentral:tRNA from 1 species
CGGGGCGUAGCGCAGCCUGGCAGCGCACCUGCCUUGGGAGCAGGGGGUCGUCCGUUCAAAUCGGACCGCCCCGACCA